ensembl:misc_RNA predicted gene, 27522
GGAAAAUUCUUUAUGCUGAAUGGAUUUCUGUUUCUGUGCCGUUUGUGCUCAUUGGAGCCAUAUGGGAUAAAAUGUCUAAAGCCGCUUCCACAAAUAUUUGAAGACUGCGGACACAUUUCCGCCUUCCCUUACUCCACAAGGCCCCUUUUCUUUAGACUAAACAUGCCCAGUUAUUUCAAACAGCGAGGCAGUGUGGGGCAGUGGAAGGAACGCCAGCUCUGGAGCCAGACACAU